GAAGGAGGAAGGAGAUUUUUCUCUGUUUACUGUUUGUUUGUGUAACAUGAAUCUGAGAUUUCACAAAAUCAAAGCGACCGAACAAAAAAAAAAAAAAAAAAAAAGAGCGAGAAAGGCACAUGAAUCUAUAAAGAUGUGUCACAAACUUCCCAUUUUCAAGACUGUGAUUUUGUGAAUUAAGCUCGAACGUGUAAGCGACUAACUGCGGAAAAAAAAUACACAGUGUUCUGUAAAUGUAUAUUUCUACAAUGUGUGUACCAUAAAAAGCUUACGCAGCGUAUAGACAAUCCUCAAAUCCUUAAAGUUUAGAUGGACAGAAUAAAAUAAAGAAACAGUAAAUAUGAAGGUGAUGUUUCUCUCUCUCUCUCACACACACACACACACACACAUCAUUAAUAUUCGGUUUGUCCUAAAAACAACAUUUAUUUAAACUGGAGCUUGGCUCUGACCUGCGCGCACACAAUACUGAGAUGGAACAAUAUUCUUUCUCUAUACAAUUCAUACAAAAAUAAAAAUUAAAACUGUUCCAAUUUAUUUCUUCUUCUUUUUUAAAUCUUUUAUUUCUGCACAGAGGUAGUGGCUAUUAAGGUAAAAGGGGGGGGUGAAAAUAAAAAUAAUGUAGAAAAUUGUUGCUUUUUUCUCUCGGUUUGUUCCGGUCUGAAGAAUCGUGUAAGAACAAACUAUAAUACUGCGUCACGUACAAACGUAGUCCUUCAUUUUGUACAUUUUACACACUGGCGUUCGCGCCGAACUGCUGAUUCUCCUCCUGGGGCUUUGCUUUUCGUUUCUAUUCUUUUCUUUUUUCGUUUUCAUAAAAGGCAAAAUGGGUGCAUUUUGAAUGACACGGACCGUAAAAUGGACAACGAGCCUAUGCUAACGCUUCCACUAGCGGCUCGUCGUCUCCUCGUGAUAGCAGCUCCUUCUUUUCGUCCGUACUCGCCAGUGAAUUACGGCUGGUUGGGCUCCCAUGUAGAGCGAGGAGUACACCGGAUUCGUGAAGUUAGUCG
ensembl:lncRNA